rnacentral:rRNA from 1 species
CCCUAUGGAGCUUAAAUUUCAUACCCAAGUCUCACACAUCACCCAAUUAAGGACCACAACAUCCCUGACACCUGGGUAGACAAUUUUGGUUGGGGUGACCUCGGAGUAUAAACCAACCUCCGAAUAUCUAGUACCUAGACCUAACCAGUCAAAGAAAUCUCACACAACAUGUAUUCUAUAAGUUAUUGACCCAAAAAAUUUUGAUCAACGGAACAAGUUACCCUAGGGAUAACAGCGCA